rnacentral:rRNA from 1 species
CCUACGGGAGGCAGCAGUGGGGAAUAUUGCGCAAUGGGCGAAAGCCUGACGCAGCGACGCCGCGUGAGGGAUGAAGGUCUUCGGAUCGUAAACCUCUGUCAGCAGGGAAGAACAGUCACUGUGCUAAUCAGCAGUGAAUUGACGGUACCUGCAAAGGAAGCACCGGCUAACUCCGUGCCAGCAGCCGCGGUAAUACGGAGGGUGCGAGCGUUGAUCGGAAUUACUGGGCGUAAAGCGCUCGUAGGCGGUAUGUCAAGUCAAGGGUGAAGUCCCCGCGCUCAACGUGGGAACUGCCGUUGAAACUGGCAAACUGGAGUGGGAGAGAGGAUAGUGGAAUGCCAGGUGUAGGGGUGAAAUGCGUAGAUAUCGGGAGGAACAUCAGUGGCGAAGGCGACGAUCUGGCACAUAACUGACGCUGAGGAGCGAAAGCGUGGGUAGCAAACAGGAUUAGAUACCCGAGUAGUC